CGAGUUUGAUCAUGGCUCAGGAUGAACGCUAGCUACAGGCUUAACACAUGCAAGUCGAGGGGAAACGGACAUCGAAAGCUUGCUUUUGAUGGGCGUCGACCGGCGCACGGGUGAGUAACGCGUAUCCAACCUGCCCACCACUUGGGGAUAACCUUGCGAAAGUAAGACUAAUACCCAAUGACGUCUCUAGAAGACAUCUGAAAGAGAUUAAAGAUUUAUCGGUGAUGGAUGGGGAUGCGUCUGAUUAGCUUGUUGGCGGGGGUAACGGCCCGACCAACGGCGACGGAUCAGUAGGGGUUCUGAGAGGAAGGUCCCCCACACUUGGAACUGAGGACACGGUCCCAAACUCCUACGGGACGGCA
rnacentral:rRNA from 1 species